AUUGUAACUUCAAUUCAAAGCAUCAUCUACACAUGAUUUUCCCUACCUUCGUCCCAUUUUCUUCUUCUUCUUCUUCGUCUUCUUCUUACAGAGGUUGUGCUGUGACAUUAGCAAAACCUCUACGCACUUUCUCUCUCUUUCGAUCUCCCUUUCGUCUGUUUUCUGGCACUUUCCACUUAGCUGAGUAGCUAGUGGAUCUUUAGGAUAAUUCAUACACAAUUCUCUGAUUUAUUCCCUUUUCAGCUAAGUUCCGCAUUCAUCUGUUAAAAUGCCUCUAAGGUUGGAGAUUAAGAGGAAACUUGCUCAAAGAUCAGAAAGGGUAAAGGCCGUGGAUCUACAUCCUACGGAGCCAUGGAUACUGGCAAGUUUAUAUUCGGGGACUCUUUGCAUCUGGAACUACCAGACUCAGACAAUGGCACAAUCUUUCGAAGUCACUGAAUUACCAGUUAGAUCAGCGAAAUUUAUAGCACGCAAGCAGUGGAUUGUUGCUGGUGCCGAUGACAUGUUUAUUCGUGUAUACAAUUAUAAUACCAUGGAUAAGGUCAAAGUAUUUGAGGCGCACACAGAUUAUAUUAGGUGUGUGGCUGUUCACCCUACUCUACCAUAUGUGCUGUCAUCAUCUGACGACAUGCUUAUAAAGCUCUGGGACUGGGAGAAGGGAUGGUUAUGCACUCAAAUUUUUGAGGGUCAUUCCCAUUAUGUGAUGCAAGUCACAUUUAAUCCUAAAGACACCAAUACUUUUGCUAGUGCAUCUCUUGAUCGGACUAUAAAGAUUUGGAACCUUGGCUCUCCUGAUCCUAACUUCACGCUGGAUGCCCAUUUGAAAGGGGUUAAUUGUGUUGACUAUUUCACUGGUGGUGAUAAACCAUAUCUAAUUACUGGUUCCGAUGAUCAUACUGCUAAGGUCUGGGACUAUCAGACGAAAAGUUGUGUCCAGACUCUUGAAGGUCACACACACAACGUCUCUGCUGUAUGUUUUCAUCCAGAUCUUCCUAUUAUAAUCACGGGGUCAGAAGAUGGUACUGUUCGUAUAUGGCAUGCAACUACUUACAGACUUGAGAACACGUUGAAUUAUGGACUUGAAAGAGUUUGGGCUAUUGGCUACAUGAAAGGUUCAAGAAGGGUUGUAAUUGGCUAUGAUGAGGGAACCAUUAUGGUAAAACUUGGUCGAGAGGUACCUGUUGUUAGCAUGGAUAAUAGUGGAAAAGUCAUAUGGGCUAAGCACAAUGAGAUUCAAACUGUUAACAUCAAGAGUGUGGGGGCAGAUUACGAGGUUACUGAGGGAGAACGAUUGCCUUUGGCUGUCAAGGAAUUGGGAACCUGUGACCUAUACCCACAAAGUUUAAAGCAUAAUCCAAACGGAAGGUUUGUCGUUGUUUGUGGAGACGGAGAGUACAUCAUAUAUACUGCUCUGGCCUGGAGAAAUAGGUCAUUUGGCCAAGCCCUGGAAAUUGUUUGGUCUUCUGAUGGAGAAUAUGCUGUGAGAGAAAGUACUUCAAGGAUUAAGAUUUUCAGCAAAAAUUUCCAGGAGAAGAAGAGCAUCCGGCCCACUUUCUCUGCUGAGCACAUCUAUGGGGGUACUUUAUUGGCAAUGUGCUCAAAUGAUUUCAUUUGUUUCUACGAUUGGACUGAGUGCAGGUUGAUACGAAGAAUUGAUGUUAAUGUCAAAAACCUCUAUUGGGCUGACAGUGGUGAUCUGGUGGCUAUUGCAAGUGAUUCUUCAUUUUACAUACUUAAAUACAAUCGCGAUAUUGUUUCUGCACAUUUAGAUAGUGGAAGAUCUGUAGAUGACCAAGGUGUUGAAGAAGCUUUUGAACUUCUUUAUGAGAUAAAUGAACGGGUCAGGACUGGAAUUUGGGUUGGAGAUUGUUUCAUUUACAAUAAUUCUUCUUCGAGGCUGAACUACUGUGUAGGCGGUGAGGUUACCACAAUGUUUCACUUAGACCGACCUAUGUACUUGCUGGGAUAUCUUGCUAAUCAAAGUAGGGUUUUCCUGGUUGACAAAGAGUUCAAUGUUGUGGGAUAUACUUUACUGCUCAGCUUGAUCGAGUACAAGACACUUGUGAUGCGUGAUGACUGGGACAGAGCAAAUGAGGUCUUGCCAUCAAUUCCGAAGGAGCAUCAUAAUAGUGUUGCUCGUUUCUUGGAAUCACGAGGAAUGAUUUCGGAAGCAUUGGAAGUUGCAACUGACCCUGACUACAGAUUUGAACUUGCCAUACAGUUGGGUAAAUUAGAGAUUGCGAAGGAAAUUGCUGUAAUAGCGCAGAGUGAAUCCAAAUGGAAGCAGUUGGGUGAUCUAGCAAUGUCUGCUGGAAUGGUAACUGAUGCUUACAGCCACUUGAGCCCCCCUUUUUUGGGAAAACAAAUUCUGAGAAAGGAGAAUAAAAACCACUUGAAUUUCCAAAAACAAGUAAAUCUGGAGAUGGCAGAGGAAUGUUUGAAGCAUGCAAAUGACUUGAGUGGUUUACUGCUGCUUUAUUCUUCAUUAGGAGAUGCUGAAGGAAUAACUAAACUAGCAUCUUUUGCCAAAGAGCAUGGGAAAAACAAUGUUGCAUUUCUUUGCCUGUUCCUCUUGGGUAAAGUGGAUGAGUGCGUUCAGCUGUUGGUUGACAGCAAUCGGAUACCUGAGGCUGCAUUUAUGGCAAGAUCUUAUCUUCCAAGUAAGGUGUCUGAAAUAGUUGCUAUUUGGAAGAAGGACCUCAAUAAGGUUAACCAGAAAGCAGCAGAAGCUUUGGCUGAUCCUGAAGAAUAUCCCAACCUGUUUGAGCACUGGCAAAUUGCACAUGCUGUUGAAGCUAGAGUCGCCGAGGAGAGGGGUGUGUACCCACCAGCAGCAGAUUAUGGAAAUUUUGCUGAUAGACCAGCUACCAACCUUGUAGAAGCUUUCAGCAACAUGAGAAUGGAUGAAGAACCCCUUGAAAAUGGAGAUAUGGAGCAUGAGGUUGUGGAACAGAAUGGUGAUGAGGUGCAAGAACAUGAGCAAGAUGACAAUCAACAAGAGAGCCAAGAAGAUGCUGUUGUGGUUGAUGCUGACUCUACUGAUGGUGCAGUACUCGUCAAUGGAAACGAGGUUGACGAAGAGUGGGGUACGAAUACUGAAGGAAAACCGUCAGCCUAAAAGCAAUUGGUUGGGCCGGUGUAAAAAUCCUAAUUUUGUUGCUGUGCUUACACCACGUCACUAGGUUCAGUGAAGAGAGUUGGUUCCAGCUGUAUGUAAUCCAUUCCUACUGUUCUCAACGUAUUGCCCAAUUGGCACGAUGAAGGGACUGGAUGUCUGUUUUGAGUGGUGUGAUUUUGUAGCAACAGGUUUUGGUGGCAUUUUGUAGAAAACAUUUGUACCAGCUCGGUUAUUAGCAUAGUUUUAUACUCUUCUAUUCUUUACGAGGCAUACAAUUCUUUAACUCGUCAAAAUUCGUUCAUGCCACUGUGAAUGUAGAGGAAACACUUAUAUCAUAAUUCAUAUAUAUGGAAGUGGAAAUACUGCGGAAGUGUUCUAAGUUCAUA